AUGGGCACCAUGACCCUGCCGCCCGGCUUCAGGUUCCACCCCACCGACGACGAGCUCGUCGGCUACUACCUCAAGCGGAGGGUCGACAACCUCAAGAUCGAGCUCGAGGUCAUCCCCGUCAUCGACCUCUACAAGUGCGAGCCAUGGGAGUUGCCAGAGAAGUCGUUCCUGCCCAAGAGGGACCUGGAGUGGUUCUUCUUCGUGCCGCGGGACCGCAAGUACCCCAACGGGUCGCGCACCAACCGGGCCACCACCACGGGCUACUGGAAGGCCACCGGCAAGGACCGCAAGGUGUCGUGCGACGGCGGCGCCGUGUGCGGCGUCAGGAAGACGCUGGUGUUCUACAAGGGCCGGGCCCCCGGCGGCGAGCGCACCGACUGGGUGAUGCACGAGUACCGCCUCUGCCAGGACCUCCUCCACGGCGCCUCCAACUUCAUCGGCGCCUACGCGCUCUGCCGCGUCAUCAAGCGCACCGAGGCCGGCCUCCUCCACGGCGACGCGGCCGCCAAGGCGAGGCCGGGCCACCGGCAGAUGAGCAAGGUCGGGAGCAGCUCGUCGCUGGUCACCACGGACCAGCAGCUGGGCUCCCUCACGCCCAGCCCGCCGCGCCUCGACAUCGUCGGCAACGCCUUCCAGCUCCACAGCUCCCCCUCUCCCCUGUACGGAGGAGGAGGGGAGGUGGUGUCCGGCAUGGGCACGCCUCUGGGGUUCCCGCAGCAGGACGCCGCCGCCACAUUCUUCAUCGACGGCGACUUCGCCGGCGCAGGCGAGACGACGCAGUCGCACAUGCCCUUCUUCGGCGACAUGGGCGUGGUCUCGGACCACGAGCUCAGAUGGGACACCUUGCCGCCCUGCGCCAACAGCACCUUCUCCACCACCGCCGGCGCGGCGGAGCUGUGGAACCCGGCGGCACCGAACGCCGCCGCCCCGAUGCUGUGCAGGGAGGCGAGCGACGACCUGGCGGCGUUUUUCUCGUCCUUGGACGAGAACAACAUGGUGGUCUACUGA
rnacentral:rRNA from 1 species